CUUUCACAGUCCACGUCUCAGUUUUGUUCUUCGGUAUAUGACAUCCGUUUCAGCUGAUAAAUUAAAUAUGUAUACAGCAUGGGCGUCGCCAAGGGGUAGGGAACAAAAUUUCUAACUACAUGUGGUGUGGUGUGUGGUGCGGUGUGUGUUGUGUGUGUGUGUUACUGUGGGACUUAGUCAAUUUGUGUAAUAAUGUCGUAUAAUAUUUAUUUAUUUUAUUUAUUUAUUUAUAUGUAUAUCCCUCCCUCUCCCCUUGGCCAUCGGCCAUAUGAACUGCCCCGCUAACCCGUCAGCUGGGAGACAGUAGUGUGACUUUGAAAUUCAAAUGACUUAUUUUUUAGUCAUUUGAUUUAUUCCCAAAGUGAAAUACAUCUAUUGUCAAAUAAAUGUCCAUUUAACAACUGUAACGAUAUAAACUUGUUACGGGACAUUAAAAGAUCACAGCAUAAAAUACUUAUAAGAAUGUUUUCAAAUUCCGUAAUAAUCUUAUUUGUCUGGAGACGGAUCCGAUUAUCUACAAGAAAUCUAAUUGCCAUUCCCAGACGUAUUUUAAUACAUUUUACUUCUACUAAGUGUUUUACUUUUAAUGUAUUUAUGACUUUAUAUUGAACGAACAGUCAAUGUCAAAAAUGUAUGUAAUAAAUAAGUAGUAUUCUACAUUCUAUUUAGGCGACUUGUGCAAGGAUGUACUCCUAUGGUUCGUUACAAGUGAUUGAUUUCUUCUUCUUCCUCGCGUUGUCCCGGCAUUUUGCCACGGCUCAUGGGAGCCUAGGGUCCGCUUGGCAACUAAUCCCGAGAACUGGGCUAGGCACUAGUUUUUACGAAAGCGACUGCCAUCUGACCUUCCAACCCAGAGGGUAAACUAGGCCUUAUUGGGAUUAGUCCAGUUUCCUCACGAUGUUUUCCUUCACCGAAAAGCGACUGGUAAAUAUCAAAUGAUAUUUCGUACAUAAGUUCCGAAAAACUCAUUGGUACGAGCCGGGGUUGAAACCCGCGACCUCCGUAUUGCAAGUCGCACGUUCUUACCGCUAGGCCACCAACGCUUACCUACUAUACUUACAAGUGAUUGGUUUGGAGAGAAAAAUUAGUAAUUAACAAGCAAAGGAAUGUGCGCUUUCGAACAAUAUGAUAGAAAAAUAAAAAUUAAAUGCUUAAAUUUGGUUAUUUUCGGUGUCGUUCUAAAUAAGUUCCCUUAACGUCCCCUCUGUUAGAAAUAAAACAUUGGAACUUAUUUCAAUUAUUCCAAACUUAGCAUCAUAAUGAAAGGUCUCAUGUUUAAUAAAAGCGCCGCCGUUUACGACUUUUUGUUCUAUGUUCCAAUCGUGUCGCAAAACGCACCGGACGACGCGCUCACCCGUAUCAUGCUUUGAUGUCACAUCAUUAUGUCGAUUGCACAUGACACCUGCAAUGCAACUGCAGCAGAAAAACGUACCAUUUGUAUUCGUUUUGGAGUUAUAUUUAUAUAAGUAGAUACAAUUAGAUUGGCAUCGGAAAUAUUUACAAUUGUUUUUGUAACUUUUGAAACUACGUAUCAUUUUUGACGCCAAUGCCUUUCUGUCUGUCUGUAGCAUCGUAGCCUCUAUAGGUCAAUGUUUAUACGAGUAUAUAGGCCAAUUUCGAUACAGUUUUUUUUAAUUGAAAGAGAGUUUUCUUGCGGUGGUCCUUAGCUUGUAGAGUAUCAGCUCUUGUCCAAAAUGGUGUACUUAAGGCAUUUUUGGCAUAAAAUGUAUUUUGUUGGCAUAAAGCGUAGGGUUUUUUUAUUUACAUUUAAUAGUUAUUAUUAACACGAAAAAGGAGGACUAGCGCGAAUUCGGCUUUUCAUACAAACGUAGUUCUCAUUUUCCUCAUUCACACAUUAUUAAAAAAACAUGUUUAUUUACCAACAAUUGUACAAGAUUUUCUUAACCCAUGACUGCCACAGGCUAUGCCUGUUUUGUGAAGCCAGAUUGAAAACUACUAAUUUGAAUUACAUCCUACGCUAUUGAAAACGAUAUUUUUGCCAGUAGUUGGAGGCAAAUUUGUGAGCAAUGCAAAAACCAUUGUGAGGCAAUGGAUGACCGUCCGUCCUCAGUUAGUUAUUAAGGUUCUUCUGUGUUUUGUUAUUCUAUUUUUCAUGUAUAACACAAUUUAAUGAUCAAUACCCUUCUAUUUGUGUACGGAUAUAUAACUUAAAAUAAUAUUGACCUACCUAGUCCCAGAUUGUAUUCUGUACCUGAUGUGUAUGCAUUUAUAUACUGUCUGUCCUAAUUUUCGCAAUGCAUUAGUAUAUACUGUAAUGCCGUGUAAUUUUGUUGUUAAAAAAUAAAAA